AAGAACAAAACAAGCGAGAGAGAGAAAGGAGAAAGGAGAAGAAGUUAGGGUUUGGGAGAGAGGAAGAACAGAGAAGACAAACCGCCAUUGGAGAUCGAAUCCAAGGCAAGAAACUUCGAAGCAAUACUUCUCUCAGUGCUGGAAAAGGAGUUUGGGUGGUGGAUUCCCUCAUUCCGGCAAGAAUAUCUGAUAACGGACAAAGUUUCUUGAAGUUCCUGGACGAGAAUCAGACGAAAAUCGUUGUUUAGUCGGACUUCGGGUAAAUCGAUCGAAAGUAGAAAAUGUGAGUUUUUCCAUAUCUUUGGACGACCUUAACUCAUCCUGUGUUCAAG